CCAGACUCCUACGGGAGGCAGCAGUGGGGAAUAUUGCACAAUGGGGGAAACCCUGAUGCAGCAACGCCGCGUGAAGGAAGACGGUUUUCGGAUUGUAAACUUCUGUUCUUAGUGAAGAAGAAUGACGGUAGCUAAGGAGCAAGCCACGGCUAACUACGUGCCAGCAGCCGCGGUAAUACGUAGGUGGCAAGCGUUGUCCGGAAUUACUGGGUGUAAAGGGAGCGCAGGCGGGAAGCCAAGUCAGCUGUGAAAACUACGGGCUUAACUUGUAGACUGCAGUUGAAACUGGUUUUCUUGAGUGAAGUAGAGGUUGGCGGAAUUCCGAGUGUAGCGGUGAAAUGCGUAGAUAUUCGGAGGAACACCGGUGGCGAAGGCGGGUUCCUGGACAUUAACUGACGCUGAGGCACGAAGGCCAGGGGAGCGAAAGGGAUUAGAUACCCGCGUA
rnacentral:rRNA from 1 species